UUUCCGUAGGUGAACCUGCGGAAGGAUCAUUACCGAAUUGUCAAACGGGUUGUUGCUGGUCUUCAAACGGGGACAUGUGCACGCUCUGUUUACACAUCCACUCACACCUGUGCACCCUCCGUAGUUCUAUGGUCUGGGGGACCCUGCCUUCCUGCCGUGGUUCUACGUCUUUACACACACUCUGUAAUAAAGUCUUAUGGAAUGUAUGCCGCGUCUAACGCAAUACAAUACAACUUUCAGCAACGGAUCUCUUGGCUCUC
rnacentral:misc_RNA from 1 species